GUUGGCACCGAUGUGACCCACGGAGGGACCUCAGGGGCUGCUGGCUCAGCUGUGGGUCACCGAGCCAGUGCUUGUUAACUGCCAACCCUAGGACCAACAGGCCUGGGCUGUCCUGUCAGAGCUCACAGGGCCAAGUCCCACGUGUAGCAUUAGUGCAGGAGCCCUCAGGCGACUCUGUCUCCUUUUGCCGGUGCCACACCAAAGCUAAUGCCCCUAUGGGGCGGGGUGCCCUCUGUGUAUAUGUAGAUGGUGCUUUAUGGUUUAACUGAACAUCUGCACAGCAAUAAAUAUGCA